CAUGAUCUGAUCAGGAUCAUGGAUUUACAUGCACUACAACAACAAAACGAGAUCCUGCUUUAUGUUUGGAUCUCAUUUUGUGAUCCAAAAAUUAGUUCUCUAUUUCACACAAGGGGUAAAUUUCACAUUGCAAAUGUUGGUACUACUGCCAACAAAUUAAAAUAAAAAUUGUGUUGCCAUUGUAUCAUUUUUAUAUACCCGAAAUGAAAUAUUUCUUAAAUCGAUAGCGAGAAACGACAUAUUUAUUUAAUUUUAUUAUAAUCCUUAAAAUAAUGACAAAUUUUAACAAAACCAAGCGUAAAUUGGUGAAAUUAAAAUAAAUAAAUGCUAAAAAAAAGUAUAUUGUACAAAAAGCAUAUGUUUUAUUUUUCUCUAAAAAAAGAACAAAAAAGUAACCAUUGAACGAAAUGUUCAUAAGGCAACUCUGCCUUAAACGUCAAAAAAGUAAUUAAAUUCGUGUAUUCUGUUGCAAAAAUGGAAGCCAAUUCUAAUAAAUUAACAAGAAGAACAUGGACAGCAGAAGAAACCAAAGCGUUUCUGGAUGCGUACAGCAAGAGGCAAUUUGAGUUUGAAAGUGCCAAGCUCAAAAAAUUUGCCAUGCAGAACGUUUUGGAAGACCUAAUUGCACUGGGAGUUUUGACACAGCCAACAACUCUAGAAAUGUUGAAAAUUAAACUAAAAAAUCUAUUGAGGUCCUUUAAGAC